rnacentral:rRNA from 1 species
AUACAGAGGGUGCAAGCGUUAAUCGGAUUUACUGGGCGUAAAGCGCGCGUAGGUGGCUAAUUAAGUCAAAUGUGAAAUCCCCGAGCUUAACUUGGGAAUUGCAUUCGAUACUGGUUAGCUAGAGUAUGGGAGAGGAUGGUAGAAUUCCAGGUGUAGCGGUGAAAUGCGUAGAGAUCUGGAGGAAUACCGAUGGCGAAGGCAGCCAUCUGGCCUAAUACUGACACUGAGGUGCGAAAGCAUGGGGAGCAAACAGGAUUAGAUACCCUGGUAGUCCAUGCCGUAAACGAUGUCUACUAGCCGUUGGGGCCCUUGAGGCUUCAGUGGCGCAGCUAACGCGAUAAGUAGACCGCCUGGGGAGUACGGUCGCAAGACUAAAACUCAAAUGAAUUGACGGGG